UACAGAGGUCUCAAGCGUUGUUCGGAUUCAUUGGGCGUAAAGGGUGCGUAGGUGGCGCCGUAAGUCAGGUGUGAAAUUUCGGAGCUUAACUCCGAAACUGCAUUUGAUACUGCGGUGCUUGAGGACUGGAGAGGAGACUGGAAUUUACGGUGUAGCAGUGAAAUGCGUAGAGAUCGUAAGGAAGACCAGUGGCGAAGGCGGGUCUCUGGACAGUUCCUGACACUGAGGCAACGAAGGCCCAGGGGGAGCAAACGGGG
rnacentral:rRNA from 1 species